CAGCCGUAAACUAUGCUCGCUAGGUGUCAGGCAUGGCGCGACCGUGUCUGGUGCCGCAGGGAAGCCGUGAAGCGAGCCACCUGGGAAGUACGGCCGCAAGGCUGAAACUUAAAGGAAUUGGCGGGGGAGCACAACAACGGGUGGAGCCUGCGGUUUAAUUGGACUCAACGCCGGACAACUCAAACCGGGACGACAGCAAUAUGUAGGCCAGGCUGAAGACCUUGCCUGAAUCGCUGAGAGGUGGUGCAUGGCGUAGACGUCU
rnacentral:rRNA from 1 species